rnacentral:rRNA from 1 species
UACGUAGGGGGCAAGCGUUGUCCGGAAUCAUUGGGCGUAAAGCGCGUGUAGGCGGUUCGGUAAGUCUGUUGUGAAAGUCCAGGGCUCAACCCUGGGAUGCCGGUGGAUACUGUCGGACUAGAGUACGGAAGAGGCGAGUGGAAUUCCCGGUGUAGCGGUGAAAUGCGCAGAUAUCGGGAGGAACACCAAUUGCGAAGGCAGCUCGCUGGGACGUCACUGACGCUGAGACGCGAAAGCGUGGGGAGCAAACAGG